CCUACGGGCGGCAGCAGUGGGGAAUAUUGGACAAUGGGCGAAAGCCUGAUCCAGCCAUGCCGCGUGUGUGAAGAAGGCCUUCGGGUUGUAAAGCACUUUCAGUGGGGAAGAAAGCCUUGGGGCUAAUACCCUCGAGGAAGGACAUCACCCACAGAAGAAGCACCGGCUAACUCCGUGCCAGCAGCCGCGGUAAUACGGAGGGUGCGAGCGUUAAUCGGAAUUACUGGGCGUAAAGCGCGCGUAGGCGGUCUGAUAAGCCGGUUGUGAAAGCCCCGGGCUCAACCUGGGAACGGCAUCCGGAACUGUCAGGCUAGAGUGCAGGAGAGGAAGGUAGAAUUCCCGGUGUAGCGGUGAAAUGCGUAGAGGUCGGGAGGAAUACCAGUGGCGAAGGCGGCCUUCUGGACUGACACUGACGCUGAGGUGCGAAAGCGUGGGUAGCAAACAGGAUUAGAUACCCUUGUAGUC
rnacentral:rRNA from 1 species